GAUGAACGCUGGCGGCGUGCCUAAUACAUGCAAGUCGAGCGAACGGACGAGAAGCUUGCUUCUCUGGUGUUAGCGGCGGACGGGUGAGUAACACGUGGAUAACCUACCUAUAAGACUGGGAUAACUUCGGGAAACCGGAGCUAAUACCGGAUAAUAUUUUGAACCGCAUGGUUCAAAAGUGAAAGACGGUCUUGCUGUCACUUAUAGAUGGAUCCGCGCUGCAUUAGCUAGUUGGUAAGGUAACGGCUUACCAAGGCAACGAUGCAUAGCCGACCUGAGAGGGUGAUCGGCCACACUGGAACUGAGACACGGUCCAGACUCCUACGGGAGGCAGCAGUAGGGAAUCUUCCGCAAUGGGCGAAAGCCUGACGGAGCAACGCCGCGUGAGUGAUGAAGGUCUUCGGAUCGUAAAACUCUGUUAUUAGGGAAGAACAUAUGCGUAAGUAACUGUGCACAUCUUGACGGUACCUAAUCAGAAAGCCACGGCUAACUACGUG
rnacentral:rRNA from 1 species